rnacentral:rRNA from 1 species
CCCUUAGAUGUUCUGGGCCGCACGCGCGCUACACUGAUGCAUUCAACGAGUCUAAAACCUGCUCUGAUAGGGGUGGGUAAUCUUUUGAAUGUGCAUCGUGAUUGGGAUAGAUGAUUGCAAUUUUUCAUCUUCAACGAGGAAUGCCUAGUAAACGCAAGUCAUCGGCUUGCAUUGAUUACGUCCCUGCCCUUUGUACACACCGCCCGUCGCUCCUACCGAUUGAAUGAUCCGAUGAAUAUCAUGGAUUGAGGAUGCAAGUAGGUUAGCCUAUCUUCAUCUUCGAGAAGUGAAGUAAAUCUUAUCAUUUAGAGGAAGGAGAAGUCGUAACA